rnacentral:misc_RNA from 1 species
GAUGAAGAACGUAGUGAAAUGCGAUAAGUAAUGUGAAUUGCAGAAUUCAGUGAAUCAUCGAAUCUUUGAACGCACAUUGCGCCCGCCAGUAUUCUGGCGGGCAUGCCUGUUCGAGCGUCAUUUCAACCAUCAAGCCCCCGGCUUGUGUUGGGGACCUGCGGCUGCCGCAGGCCCUGAAAAGCAGUGGCGGGCUCGCUGUCACACCGAGCGUAGUAGAUUUCAUCUCGCUCAGGGCGUGCUGCGGGUUCCGGCCGUUAAACCACCUUCAUAACCCAAGGUUGACCUCGGAUCAGGUAGGAAGACCCGCUGAACUUAAGCGUAUCAAUAAGCGGAGGA